rnacentral:rRNA from 1 species
CCUACGGGAGGCUGCAGUGAGGAAUAUUGGUCAAUGGGCUUACGCCUGAACCAGCCAAGUCGCGUGAGGGAAGACUGCCCUAUGGGUUGUAAACCUCUUUUGUCAGGGAGCAACGCCGGCUACGUGUAGCCUUCCUGAUAGUACCUGAACUAACAGCCUCGGCUAACUCCGUGCCAGCAGCCGCGGUACUACGGAGGAUGCGAGCGUUAUCCGGAUUUAUUGGGUUUAACGGGUGCGUAGGCGGAAUGCCAAGUCAGCGGUAAAAUCGCGGGGCUCAACCUCGCUCCGCCGUUGAAACUGGUGUUCUUGAGUGGGCGAGAAGUGUGCGGAAGGCGAGGUGUAGCGGUGAAAUGCGUAGAUAUCACGCAGAACACCGAUUGCGAAGGCAGCAUACCGGCGUCCAACUGACGCUGAAGCACGAAAGCGUGGGUAUCGAACAGGAUUAGAUACCCUUGUAGUC